GAUGAACGCUGGCGGCGUGCCUAAUACAUGCAAGUAGAACGCUGAAGCUUGGUGCUUGCACCGAGCGGAUGAGUUGCGAACGGGUGAGUAACGCGUAGGUAACCUGCCUCUUAGCGGGGGAUAACUAUUGGAAACGAUAGCUAAUACCGCAUAAAAGUCGACAUCGCAUGAUGUUGACUUGAAAGGUGCAAUUGCAUCACUAAGAGAUGGACCUGCGUUGUAUUAGCUAGUUGGUGAGGUAACGGCUCACCAAGGCGACGAUACAUAGCCGACCUGAGAGGGUGAUCGGCCACACUGGGACUGAGACACGGCCCAGACUCCUACGGGAGGCAGCAGUAGGGAAUCUUCGGCAAUGGGGGCAACCCUGACCGAGCAACGCCGCGUGAGUGAAGAAGGUUUUCGGAUCGUAAAGCUCUGUUGUAAGAGAAGAACGAGUGUGAGAGUGGAAAGUUCACACUGUGACGGUAACUUACCAGA
rnacentral:rRNA from 1 species